GAUCAUGGCUCAGGAUGAACGCUGGCGGCGUGCCUAACACAUGCAAGUCGAGCGAAGCACUUUGCUUAGAUUCUUCGGAUGAAGAGGAUUGUGACUGAGCGGCGGACGGGUGAGUAACGCGUGGGUAACCUGCCUCAUACAGGGGGGAUAACAGUUAGAAAUGACUGCUAAUACCGCAUAAGACCACAGCACCGCAUGGUGCGGGGGGUAAAAAACUCCGGUGGUAUGAGAUGGACCCG
rnacentral:rRNA from 1 species